AUACGUAGGUGGCAAGCGUUGUCCGGAAUUAUUGGGCGUAAAGCGCAUGUAGGCGGUUUGGUAAGUCGGUCGUGAAAAUGCGGUGCUUAACGCCGUAUGGCGAUUGAAACUGCUGAACUUGAGUGCAGGAGAGGAAAGGGGAACUCCCAGUGUAGCGGUGAAAUGCGUAGAUAUUGGGAAGAACACCGGUGGCGAAGGCGCCUUUCUGGACUGUGUCUGACGCUCAGAUGUGAAAGCCAGGGUAGCGAACGGGAUUAGAUACCCCGGUAGUCCUGGCCGUAAACGAUGGGUACUAGGUGUGGGAGGUAUCGACUCCUUCCGUGCCGGAGUUAACGCAAUAAGUACCCCGCCUGGGGAGUACGGCCGCAAGGCUUAAACUCAAAGGAAUUGACGGGG
rnacentral:rRNA from 1 species